ACGGUUACCUUGUUACGACUUCACCCUAAUCAUCUGUCCUACCUUAGACGGCUGACUCCUAUAAAGGUUAUCCCACCGGCUUUGGGUGUUACAGACUCUCAUGGUGUGACGGGCGGUGUGUACAAGGCCCGGGAACGUAUUCACCGCGGCGUGCUGAUCCGCGAUUACUAGCGAUUCCAGCUUCGUGUAGGCGAGUUGCAGCCUACAGUCCGAACUGAGAACGGCUUUAAGAGAUCCGCUUGCCUUCGCAGGUUCGCUUCUCGUUGUACCGUCCAUUGUAGCACGUGUGUAGCCCAGGUCAUAAGGGGCAUGAUGACUUGACGUCAUCCCCACCUUCCUCCGGUUUGUCACCGGCAGUCUCAUUAGAGUGCCCAACUUAAUGAUGGCAACUAAUGACAAGGGUUGCGCUCGUUGCGGGACUUAACCCAACAUCUCACGACACGAGCUGACGACAGCCAUGCACCACCUGUCUCAGCGUCCCCGAAGGGAACACCUAAUCUCUUAGGUUUGCACUGGAUGUCAAGACCUGGUA
rnacentral:rRNA from 1 species